GACAGAGGCCCCGAGCGUUAAUCGGAAUUACUGGGCUUAAAGGGUGCGUAGGCUGAUCCGAAAGUGCUUUGUGAAAUCCCCCAGCUCAACCGGGGAACAGCGGGGCAUACUGCGGAUCUUGAGGCAGGUAGGCGCCGAGGGAACAGUAGGUGGAGCGGUGAAAUGCGUAGAUAUCUACUGGAACGCCGAUGGUGAAGACGCUCGGCUGGGCCUGUCCUGACGCUGAGGCACGAAAGCGUGGGGAGCAAACAGG
rnacentral:rRNA from 1 species